UACGUAGGGGGCAAGCGUUAUCCGGAUUUACUGGGUGUAAAGGGAGCGUAGACGGCCAGACAAGUCUGAAGUGAAAAUCCAGCGCUUAACGUUGGAAGUGCUUUGGAGACUGCCGGGCUAGAGUGCAGGAGGGGCAGGCGGAAUUCCUAGUGUAGCGGUGAAAUGCGUAGAUAUUAGGAGGAACACCGGUGGCGAAGGCGGCCUGCUGGACUGCAACUGACGUUGAGGCUCGAAGGCGUGGGGAGCAAACAGG
rnacentral:rRNA from 1 species